GAUGAACGCUGGCGGCGUGCCUAAUACAUGCAAGUCGAGCGAACAGACGAGGAGCUUGCUCCUCUGACGUUAGAGGCGGACGGGUGAGUAACACGUGGAUAACCUACCUAUAAGACUGGGAUAACUUCGGGAAACCGGAGCUAAUACCGGAUAAUAUAUUGAACCGCAUGGUUCAAUAGUGAAAGACGGUUUUGCUGUCACUUAUAGAUGGCUCCGCGCCGCAUUAGCUGGUUGGUAAGGUAACGGCUUAACAAGGCAACGAUGCGCAGCCGACCUGAGAGGGUGGUCGCCUACAUGGUACGUGAGCCUCUGUCCCGACUCCGACGGGAGGAAGCAGUAGGGAAUCUUCCGCGAGGGGGGAAUGCUUGACGUUGCAACGCCGCGUGAGUGAUGAAGCUCCUCUGAUCGUAAAACUCUGUUAGUAGUGAAGAUCAAAUGUGUAAGUAACUAUGCUCGUCUUGACGGUACCUAAUCAGAAAGCCACGGCUAACUACGUG
rnacentral:rRNA from 1 species